UGGGGAAUAUUGCACAAUGGACGGAAGUUUGAUGCAGCGACGCCGCGUGGAGGGUGUAGGCCUUCGGGUUGUGAACUCCUUUUUCUCGCGAAAAAGGCACAGUUUUGGCUGUGUUGAUGGUAGUGGGGGAAGAAGCGCCGGCUAACUACGUGCCAGCAGCCGCGGUAAUACGUAGGGCGCGAGCGUUGUCCGGAUUUAUUGGGCGUAAAGAGCUCGUAGGUGGUUCGUCGCGUCUGUCGUGAAAGCCAGCAGCUUAACUGUUGGUCUGCGGUGGGUACGGGCGGGCUUGAGUGCGGUAGGGGUGACUGGAAUUCCUAGUGUAGCGGUGGAAUGCGCAGAUAUCAGGAGGAACACCGAUGGCGAAGGCAGGUCACUGGGCCGUUACUGACACUGAGGAGCGAAAGCGUGGGGAGCGAACAGG
rnacentral:rRNA from 1 species